rnacentral:rRNA from 1 species
CCUACGGGAGACUGCAGUGAGGAAUAUUGGUCAAUGGACGAGAGUCUGAACCAGCCAAGUAGCGUGAAGGAUGACUGCCCUAUGGGUUGUAAACUUCUUUUAUAAAGGAAUAAAACGAGGCACGUGUGCCUUUUUGCAUGUACUUUAUGAAUAAGGAUCGGCUAACUCCGUGCCAGCAGCCGCGGUAAUACGGAGGAUCCGAGCGUUAUCCGGAUUUAUUGGGUUUAAAGGGAGCGUAGAUGGGUUGUUAAGUCAGUUGUGAAAGUUUGCGGCUCAACCGUAAAAUUGCAAUUGAUACUGGAAGUCUUGAGUACAGUUGAGGUAGGCGGAAUUCGUGGUGUAGCGGUGAAAUGCUUAGAUAUCACGAAGAACCCCGAUUGCGAAGGCAGCUUACUAAACUGUGACUGACAUUGAUGCUCGAAAGUGUGGGUAUCAAACAGGAUUAGAUACCCGUGUAGUC